UACAGAGGUCUCAAGCGUUGUUCGGAUUCAUUGGGCGUAAAGGGUGCGUAGGCGGCGCGGUAAGUCGGGUGUGAAAUCUCGGAGCUUAACUCCGAAACUGCAUUCGAUACUGCCGUGCUUGAGGACUGGAGAGGAGACUGGAAUUUAAGGUGUAGCGGUGAAAUGCGUAGAUAUCGUAAGGAAGACCAGUGGCGAAGGCGGGUCUCUGGACAGUUCCUGACGCUGAGGCACGAAGGUCAGGGGAGCAAACGGG
rnacentral:rRNA from 1 species